UGCCCUAGGCUCUCCAACCCAUUGUGAACUUACCAAACGUUCCCUCGGCGGGCUCAGCGCGCGGUGGCCUCCGGGCCUCCGGGCGUCCGCCGGGGAAAACCAAACCCUGAUUUAAUCGUAUUUCUCUGAGGGGCGAAAGCCCGAAAACAAAAUGAAUCAAAACUUUCAACAACGGAUCUCUUGGCUCUGGCAUCGAUGAAGAACGCAGCGAAAUGCGAUAAGUAAUGUGAAUUGCAGAAUUCAGUGAAUCAUCGAAUCUUUGAACGCACAUUGCGCCCGCCGGCACUCCGGCGGGCAUGCCUGUCCGAGCGUCAUUUCAACCCUCAGGCCCACCCUUCCGGGGGAGCGGGCCUGGUGCUGGGGAUCGGCGGCCCUCGCGGCCCCCGUCCCUCAAAUACAGUGGCGGUCGCGCCGCAGCCUCCCCUGCGUAGUAGCACAACCUCGCACCGGAGAGCGGAACGACCACGCCGUGAAACCCCCAAUUUUUUAAGGUUGACCUCGGAUCAGGUAGGAAUACCCGCUGAACUUAAGCAUAUCAAUAAGCGGGAGGAAA
rnacentral:sRNA from 1 species